UUGGAGGGCAAGUCUGGUGCCAGCAGCCGCGGUAAUUCCAGCUCCAAUAGCGUAUAUUAAAGUUGUUGCAGUUAAAAAGCUCGUAGUUGAAUUUCGGAGUUUGUCGGUUGGUCGGGCUUCACUGUCCGCACUAACCUGAUGGAUUCCUACCUUCUGAAUAACCAGCAUGCUAUUAAGUUAGUGCGUUGGGGAAGCAGAGCUAUUACCUUGAAAAAAUUAGAGUGUUUAAAGCAAGCUAACGCUUGAAUACAUUAGCAUGGAAUAAUGAAAUAGGACGUUCGAUCCUAUUUUGUUGGUUUCUAGGAUUGACGUAAUGAUUAAUAGGGAUAGUUGGGGGCAUUAGUAUUCAAUUGUCAGAGGUGAAAUUCUUGGAUUUAUUGAAGACUAACUACUGCGAAAGCAUUUGCCAAGGAUAUUUUCAUUAAUCAAGGACGAAAGUUAGGGGAUCGAAGACGAUCAGAUACCGUCGUAGUCUUAACCAUAAACUAUGCCGACUAGGAAUCAGACGAUGUUAAUUUUUUAAUGACUCGUUUGGCACCUUACGGGAAACCAAAGUGUUUGGGUUC
rnacentral:rRNA from 1 species